rnacentral:rRNA from 1 species
GCAGCAGUGGGGAUAUUGCACAAUGGGCGCAAGCCUGAUGCAGCCAUGCCGCGUGUGUGAAGAAGGCCUUCGGGUUGUAAAGCACUUUCAGUCAGGAGGAAAGGUUAGUAGUUAAUACCUGCUAGCUGUGACGUUACUGACAGAAGAAGCACCGGCUAACUCCGUGCCAGCAGCCGCGGUAAUACGGAGGGUGCGAGCGUUAAUCGGAAUUACUGGGCGUAAAGCGUACGCAGGCGGUUUGUUAAGCGAGAUGUGAAAGCCCCGGGCUCAACCUGGGAACUGCAUUUCGAACUGGCAAACUAGAGUGUGAUAGAGGGUGGUAGAAUUUCAGGUGUAGCGGUGAAAUGCGUAGAGAUCUGAAGGAAUACCGAUGGCGAAGGCAGCCACCUGGGUCAACACUGACGCUCAUGUACGAAAGCGUGGGGAGCAAACGGGAUUAGAUACCCCGGUAGUCCACGCCGUAAACGAUGUCUACUAGAAGCUCGGAGCCUCGGUUCUGUUUUUCAAAGCUAACGCAUUAAGUAGACCGCCUGGGGAGUACGGCCGCAAGGUUAAAACUCAAAUGAAUUGACGGG